GAUGAACGCUGGCGGCGUGCCUAAUACAUGCAAGUCGAGCGAACAGACGAGGAGCUUGCUCCUCUGAUGUUAGCGGCGGACGGGUGAGUAACACGUGGAUAACCUACCUAUAAGACUGGGAUAACUUCGGGAAACCGGAGCUAAUACCGGAUAACAUGUUGAACCGCAUGGUUCAACAGUGAAAGACGGUCUUGCUGUCACUUAUAGAUGGAUCCGCGCCGCAUUAGCUAGUUGGUAAGGUAACGGCUUACCAAGGCAACGAUGCGUAGCCGACCUGAGAGGGUGAUCGGCCACACUGGAACGGAGACACGGUCCAGACUCCUACGGGAGGCAGAAGUAGGGAAUCUUCGGCAAUGGGCGAAAGCCUGACGGAGCAACGCCGCGUGAGUGAAGAAGGUCUUCGGAUCGUAAAACUCUGUUAUUAGGGAAGAACAAAUGUGUAAGUAACUAUGCACGUCUUGACGGUACCUAAUCAGAAAGCCACGGCUAACUACGUG
rnacentral:rRNA from 1 species